AGAGGGGAAACUGUCUUCACCGUUAAACGCAAUCACAAGCUUCCUGCAACCGUUUUAUGCAUUUGAGAUGAAAAUUUAGGAGCCUAUUAUGAACUCGAGAUAAGCAGACUAUAGCCACCCUUGGUAGUAUCUUGGAAGCUGCCUUGAUUUAAAGACAGUAAUUAAAAAAAAAGAGUUAUCAGUCUCCAGCCAGGUAAAAACGCUCAGGUUGGCGUUGUCUGGAAAAGUGAUUUAAACUGCCCGUUCGUUAAGCCACACUUGUAAUUUAGGGGAGAAUGAGACGGUUUCGCGCGUAGGGGUGCCUCGGCCCACCGUUGGGCAGCGCUGGAAGAACGCUGCCUUCCAGGCUUUGUGGCUUCGCGCACGCGCCGUAGCCCCAACUCCGCCACCGGGACGCGCCGGGGCCCUGGCAAGGCGGGGCCUGGAAUAGUGCGCGUGAAUGUGACGUCGCUGCGUGCGACGCCUCUUGUUGCCGGGCAGCGAUGGCGGCUUCUUUGGAGUCCUCUGGGGAGGAUCCACUGCGGAACUUUGUGCGAGUUUUGGAGAAGCGAGAUGGCACGGUGUUACGACUGCAGCAGUAUGGCUCCGGCGGCGUGGGUUGCGUUGUUUGGGACGCUGCCAUUGUCCUUUCUAAAUACCUGGAAACGCCCGGAUUUUCCGGCGAUGGGGCCCACGCGCUGAGCCGGCGGUCGGUGCUAGAGCUGGGCUCAGGCACCGGGGCUGUGGGGCUCAUGGCCGCUACCCUCGGGGCAGAUGUUAUAGUCACCGAUCUUGAGGAAUUGCAAGACUUGCUGAAGAUGAAUAUUAAUAUGAACAAGCAUCUUGUCACUGGUUCUGUUCAAGCCAAGGUACUGAAAUGGGGGGAAGAAUUAGAAGACUUUCCUUCUCCGCCAGACUAUAUACUGAUGGCUGACUGCAUAUACUACGAAGAGUCUUUGGAGCCACUGUUGAAAACCCUAAAAGAUCUCAGUGGGUCUGAGACUUGUAUUAUAUGUUGUUAUGAACAGCGAACAAUGGGAAAAAAUCCAGAAAUCGAGAAAAAAUAUUUUGAGAAUUAAUAACCCACAGGAAGCUGCAGAAGUAGUACUUAGAAUCCCAUUUGUGUUUCACCCAUCUUCCUCCAGUGGUCACCCAAAUGCUUCUUAUGGGUAAAGAUCCAUCAUACGACAAGUGGUUCCUCUUAAGGAAACAUCUUUAUGGCUCUUCAGUUUUAUCUUCUGAAAGGGUUACUUUGGGUAAAGUGACUCUUCAUGACUCUGCCUCAGAUAUAUGGUGAAAUGGUUUUUUACUUUUAUGUUUUUCUUGACUGUGAAGAACUUUAAUGAACUUUUGAAAUAAUGUAUACUUGAAAAUUUGAUAUCAUUAAUCAGUUUUCAGUUGAGUUAAAACAUAUCAAAUGCAUAUAUAUCAAGUGCUUAGCUCAACUUUUCAUAUACCCCUCCCAGUCAGUAUUCCAAAGGUAACCACCAUUCUGAUUUCUGUCAGCAAUGGAUAGUUCAUAUUAUUGAAUUUGAAUUGCAUCUUUUUUAAAUUUAUAGCUCCUUCAACUAGACUUUGACUUUGAAAAAAUUCCUUUGGAAAAACAUGAUGAAGAAUAUCGAAGUGAAGAUAUUCACAUUUUAUACAUCAGAAAGAAAAAAUCGAAAUUCCCAUCAUGAAAUCUUUAGUCAUGUUACCCAAGCCUCUAACAACGUGGGUAAGCUAAUAACAUGAAUGAAGCAUGUGAAUACAGCAUGGGAAGAUUGUGUUCACAGAUUUUUUCAGCAUGUCUUUAGGGAUCCGAUCUAGAGACAACCACCACCGGCUGCCUGCAAUAUGAAAAAUGACUUGACUGACUGCCUACCUACCAAUGGGCCUGAAAUCCAACUUAGUUUACUUUUAGCUCCACAUCAAGUUCUGCUUAAAAGAAACAUUGUGUCAGUCACUCCUCCAAUAAAAAUAGGUACUGAGGUUAGCCUAAAGUCUGCCAAAAAUAAUGAAGUAGCAUGGUUGGCUUGGCAUGUUUUCAGGAAAAUAGAGGUAAGUUGACCCAGUUUCUAAAGAGAGGUAUCAGUUACUCUUUAAUAAUGUUUAAAUUCAAAUCAGUAAAUUUUAAUUUGUCAUCAAGAUAAGUUUAAGAGAGGGUUUUAACAUUUAUACAAUGGGUUUUAUUGUAAGUAUCUUCCACUUCAUUGUUUUUUCAGACAACUUUAAUAUUUGUGUUCUUUUACUUGGGGGAAAAAAAACCGAAAAGACUGUUUUGUGACCAAAGUUCUGUGCUUUUCCUUCACCGUACUGAUUAUAGUAUAAUUUACCCUGUGAAUUACAUAAUAAAUUAUACUGUGGUUGGUUAAUAAAGAAGACAGAAGAAGUCAGGGUGCAAGGGAGGGAAACAUCCUGGUAAAAAUUUUUUAUUUGAGGAUGGAGUGAGAAUAAAAGGCCCAGCCUCAGGCUCGUGCAUUUAUGUGGCUUGUGUACUCUUCCUCCUGUGUAGCUUCCAGGAAAAUGUGGCUAAAUUCACUGGUGAUCACUUAUUUAUAUGAAACAGAAAGCUAUUUAAAUAACUACAAGUGUACUUCUGUGUACAUUUACCAAAUGAUUUUUUUUCUGUGUGGUCUCUGUUUUAUGUUAUGAUAAUCAUCUGUUCGCAGACUGAUCUGUCAGGACUUCCCAGUCACACUGGUUCCAAAGCGUAAUAGUAACCAGAUGGAAUGCUGGUACUUAACAGGCAUUGGUGCUAGGUGGCACAUUUUAUGUGUUAAAAUAAACAUUGUUUUUGAGA